rnacentral:ncRNA from 2 species
GUAUACGAGCUUCUUUGAGCAAAGGUGUCUAAACCGUCGGGCAUGACACCGCGCCGCAAUGCUAAGGGCUAUAUAAGCCGGCAUUCAAGGGUGGAGGGGGAAACCCCGCCGCCUUCCCGCAGAAGAAACGCUGCAAUUUGAAAAAAAGA